ACUCGAUCAUUAUUUCCUCCCCUCUCCUUCCUUUCCUCUAUCACCGCUAGGUUUCUUCCAUCUCCUUUCCUUUCCUCUAUCACCGCUAGGUUUCCUCUCUCCCACCCCUUCUUUCCUUUCGUAUUUGCAGCGCACCAGGUUCUUCCCUCUUCGCAGUAAGCAAGGAGUUCAAAGGUGCGGCCACACUCAAGGGGGUCGCAGCCUCUCCAAACCACUAGUUUACUAGCGGUCGAUUUGCGAAUGGCUGCACGCGAGGGGGUCGAUGCCUCACGAGGCAGUCCGUUCACAAACGGUUGCACACGAGGGGGUCUAAGCAGUGGCCUGUAGCGAGGCAACGACAUCGUUAUCUGCUUCUGAAACUCUCGUGUUUUUCCAUCUCCAUAUACUGGUAAGCUUUUCAAGAAGAUGGAAUUGCACAAGCUAGCAGAUAUGCUACUGAGGAUUCAAUUAAGUCAUGGCUUAAUGAAUUACUUUGCUUGGAUGUUGCAAGUUACAUUCCAAAUAUCACUAUGUUAGUAUUCUUGAUGAAAAGUAAAUAAUUGUUUUUCAGGUCAUUCUCUAAAUGAUCUUUUAUUUGUCUAGACUUCCACAUCCAAGUGAAUGUGCCCUUUACUAUGUCAACCGAGAUAUACUUUUCUAAUAUCACAAGGAGAGUGAGAUAUGUUUAUAGGUUUGUCUCUCCAUUGUGGAAUUCAAUGAUAUUUUUUCUCCUCAUAGAGAGAAGACUACACUUGAGCAUGAGCCUAGCUUGUGGUUGCUGCAGUUGGCUUCAAGGCAAGAAGGCCUGAGAUCCCAAGUACUGUAAAUAGACAUGUGGCUGCCAUAAUUGAGUCCUGUUGGGCCAGCGAGCCAUGGAAAAGGCCUUCUUUUUCUAGUAUCAUGGAAUCCUUGAAGCCUCUAAUCAAGACUCAGUCACCUCAACCGUUACAUUCUGAUAUGUCUAGUAUCCAAUAGCCAGAUGAUUGCAUAUUCCUAAGAGAGAUGUGUAUUGUAGCUA